rnacentral:rRNA from 1 species
CGAAGGGGGCUAGCGUUGUUCGGAUUUACUGGGCGUAAAGCGCACGUAGGCGGGUCGUUAAGUCGGGGGUGAAAUCCUGGAGCUCAACUCCAGAACUGCCUUCGAUACUGGCGACCUAGAGUCCGGAAGAGGUGAGUGGAACUCCUAGUGUAGAGGUGGAAUUCGUAGAUAUUAGGAAGAACACCAGUGGCGAAGGCGGCUCACUGGUCCGGUACUGACGCUGAUGUGCGAAAGCGUGGGGAGCAAACAGGAUUAGAUACCCUGGUAGUCCACGCCGUAAACUUUGGAAGCUAGCCGUUGGGGGGUUUACCUCUCAGUGGCGCAGCUAACGCAUUAAGCUUCCCGCCUGGGGAGUACGGUCGCAAGAUUA